GUUUCAUCGAUAUAUCGGAACCUCACUAGCGCAUAAUCGUCGAACUUUGCACCGCUAUCUUACCAGUGUUUGUUUACAAACGAACAGUACGCGCGUGAUUGUGUGGUUAUUAUUUUUAAUUGUUUAUUGUUUACAAUGGAAACAUGUAUCGAUGAUUCACUGUUGAAAGAGCAUCUCGGCAGCUUAGAAGAGAUGUAUACGGACUUUGACAGUUGGGUGGGAAAGUUUGACAGAUACAUCAAAAAACGGUA